GACCGUUGCAAGUUCCCGAAAGGAUUCAUUUGAAAAUCAAGUGAAGAUGCCUUGUAACCGAAAAAUUAUUUUAGGGGGAAUCAUCGUG
rnacentral:sRNA from 2 species